UAGUGGCGAACGGGUGAGUGAUGCAUCAGAACGGGUCGAGAAGAGGGGGAUAACCACCCGAAAGGGUAGGCUAAUACCGCAUAAAUUCCGAGGAAGAAAGCUGGGGACCUAUGAAUAAGCCUAGCGCUUUUUGAGCGGUCGAUGUCGGAUUAGCUAGUUGGUGAGGUAAAGGCUCACCAUGGCGAUGAUCUGUAGCGGGUCUGAGAGGAUGAUCCGCCGCUCUGGGACUGAGACUCGGCCCAGACUCCUACGGGAGGCAGCAGAGGGGAAUUUUGGACUAUGGGGGCCACCCUGAUCCAGCCAUGCCGCGCGUAUGAAGAAGGCCUUAGGGUUGUAAAGUACUUUUGUUAGGGAAGAAAAGUCAGCUGUGUAUAAUGGCUGUUACUGACGGCACCUAUCAGAAUAAGCUCCGGCUAACUACGUGCCAGCUGCCGCGGUAACACGUACGGUGCGAGCGUUAAUCAGAAUUAUCGGGCGUAAAGCGAGUGUACACAGUUAUUUAAGCCAGAUGUGAAAUACCCGAGCCUAUCUUGGGAGGUGCACAUGGAACUGGGUAGCUAGAGUGUGUCAGAAGGAGGCAGAACUCCACGCGUAGCAGUGAAAUGCGUAGAGAUGUGGAAGAACACCGUCGGCGAAGGCAGCCGCCUGAGAUCACACUGACGUUGAGGCUGGAAAGUGUGGGGAGCAAACAGGAUUAGAUACCUUGGUAGUCCACGCCUUAAACGAUGACAAUUAGCUGUUGGCCCCAUUAAGGGGUGAGUAGCGAAGCUAACGCGUGAAAUUGUCCGCUUGGGGAGUACGGUCGCAAGAUUAAAACUCAAAGGAAUUGACGGGGACCCGCACAAGCGGUGGAUGAUGUGGAUUAAUUCGAUGCAACGCGAAGAACCUUACUUGGUCUUGACAUGUACAGAAGGUUUUAGAGAUAAGACUGUGCUUUCGGGAACUGUAACACAGGUGCUGCAUGGCUGUUGUCAGCUCGUGUCGUGAGAUGUUGGGUUAAGUCCCGCAACGAGCGCAACCCUUUUCAUUAGUUGCCAUCAUUAAGUUGGGCACUCUAAUGAGACCGCCGGUGAUAAACCGGAGGAAGGUGGGGAUGAUGUCAAGUCAUCAUGGCCCUUAUGACCAGGGCUUCACACGUCAUACAAUGGUAGGUACAGAGGGUAGCGAAGCGGCGACGUGAAGCCAAUCUCAGAAAGCCUAUCGUAGUCCGGAUUGUAGUCUGCAACUCGACUACAUGAAGUCGGAAUCGCUAGUAAUCGCAGAUCAGCAUGUUGCGGUGAAUACGUUCCCGGGUCUUGUACACACCGCCCGUCACACCAUGGGAGUGGGAGAUGCCAGAAGUGGGUAGGGUAUCCGAGAGGAGCCCGCUCACCACGGUAUG
rnacentral:rRNA from 1 species